rnacentral:rRNA from 1 species
UUUUUCGAAGAGUUUGAUCCUGGCUCAGAGUGAACGCUAGCGGCGCGCCUAACACAUGCAAGUCGAGUGGGUUUAGACCCACGGCAAACGGCUGCGUAACACGUUGGAACCUUCCCCGGACUCAGGGAUAACCCCGCGAAAGCGGGGCUAAUACCGGAUGGCCUCGGUACCUCUCUAUACUGAACUCGAAGAUCGCUGUCGAAAAUGAUUCACCGAUUGUUAAACCAGCAUCAAUCUCAGUAUAUAGAGGUGCCGAGUAAAGAUUUAUCGGUCCGGGAGGGGCCUGCGGCCUAUCAGCUAGUUGGCGAGGUAACGGCUCACCAAGGCAAUGACGGGUAGCUGGUCUGAGAGGACGACCAGCCAGAAUGGAACUGCGACACGGUCCAUACUCCUACGGGAGGCAGCAGUGAGGAAUCUUCCGCAAUGGACGAAAGUCUGACGGAGCGACGCCGCGUGGUGGAUGAAAGCCUUAACUGGUUGUAAACACCUGUUCUGAGGGACGAAAUUUUUGACGGUACCUCAGGAGAAAGUAUCGGCUAACCCUGUGCCAGCAGCCGCGGUAAGACAGGGGAUACAAGCGUUACUCGGAAUUACUGGGCGUAAAGCGUCUGUAGGUUUUCCGAAAAGUCUGAGGUAAAAACUCAGGGCUUAACCCUGAGAGCGUCUCGGAAACUCUCGGAAUCGAGCAGUGGAGAGGCAUCUGGAAUGCCAUGUGUAGGAGUAAAAUCCGUAGAUAUAUGGUAGAACGCCAAAAGCGAAGGCAGGAUGCUAGCCACUUGCUGACACUGAGAGACGAAAGCAUGGGGAGCAAAGGGGAUUAGAUACCCCCGUAGUCCAUGCCCUAAACGAUGCGUGCUCGAUGUGGGAGGUUUUCAAUUGCCUUCCGUGUCCAAGCUAACGCGGUAAGCACGCCGCCUGGGAAGUACGGUCGCAAGACUAAAACUCAAAGGAAUAGACGGGGACCCACACAAGCGGUGGAGCAUGGGGUUUAAUUCGAUAGUAAGCGAAGAACCUCACCUAGGCUUGACAUCUCGGGAACCCCCCGGAAACGGGGGGGUGCCGCAAGGAACCCGAAGACAGGUGCUGCACGGUUGUCGUCAGCUCGUGCCUUGAGGUGUACUGUUAAGUCAGCGAACGAGCGCAACCCUCAUCCUAUGUUGUCUUUUCAUGGGAGACUGCCGCCUCCAAGGCGGAGGAAGGUGGGGAUGACGUCAAAUCAGCGUGGCCCUUAUGCCUAGGGCGACACCCGUGCUACAAUGGCCGGUACAGUGAGCCGCGAAUCCGCGAGGAGGAGCCAAUCUCUAAAAGCCGGCCUCAGUUCGGAUUGCAGUCUGCAACUCGACUGCAUGAAGUUGGAAUCGCUAGUAACCGUGAAUCAGCCAUGUCACGGUGAAUAUGUUCCUGGGUCUUGUACUCACCGCCCGUCAAGUCAUGAAAGGUAGAAGCACCUGAAGCACCGUUACCCUUUUGGGGCGGUACCACGGUGAAGCUACUGAUUGGGACUAAGUCGUAACAAGGUAUCCGUAGGAGAACCUGCGGAUGGAACAUCUCCUUACCAGGGAGUA